rnacentral:rRNA from 3 species
AAAACUUUCAACAACGGAUCUCUUGGUUCCGGCAUCGAUGAAGAACGCAGCGAAAUGCGAUAACUAAUGUGAAUUGCAGAAUUCAGUGAAUCAUCGAGUCUUUGAACGCACAUUGCGCCCCCUGGUAUUCCGGGGGGCAUGCCUGUCCGAGCGUCAUUG